UGAAGUUCCUGUGGGACUCCUAACAGUGGGAAUGGAAGCUGUCUCUGUCUCUUUUGCCUGCUCUGGGGACCCUUUUCCUCCUACUGGGUCUCUUCGUCCAGCCUUGAUGUGAGGAACCUCCAAACUGAUUUCCAUAAUGACUGUAUCAACUCGCAUUCCCGCCAGCGGUGAAUAAGAUUCUCCUUCAGGUUCUUUCCAACGUGUGUUGCCAGAUUUGUUGAUGACGGCUGUUCUGACUGAGGUACGUGUCUCUGCCACACCCCUUAUCAAAGAAGCCUCUUUACAGCAAACGGAGACCAUCACAGAAAAAUCACAACAAUGUAGAGAUCCAUGGAUUGUGAUGAGGAGCCCAGCCCCAAAAGACACAUCUACACCACAGCUUCUGCAUCUAUAUGGCACGGGGAGGAAGAGUGGGCGAAAAGAUUCUAAGAGCCAGCACACCAGGAAGCCUGCUAUGAAACUGUCUCCCCUAGAAAUGGCUGCAUAAACCAGAACAAUGGCAACAUCAGUGGGUAUAUUAACUUGGACGGAGAACAUUUCCCGGGGUCCUAUCCCUAUCCCUAGACCUAUAGCUAACUAAUGACUGCCGUGAGGAGGGGGAUUUGGCCUCACCCAAGGCUGAGCCCCAUUAUUGGUUAUCCAAUGCAGAGUGAUUAUCCCUGAAACGACACAUGCACAAACUUUUAAGUUGCAGCAUUUAAUAACUCACAGAUACCAUCUCACUGGGCACAUCUGCCCUGGACAUGUUCCUACUAUAGUCUCUUAUCCUGAAACAUUUUCUCUACUUCACUCUCCAAAUUUCUGGGCAGACUUUUACUAGUUCUCUGACCACUGAAAGCUUGACCGCUAAUCACCCUCGAGGAAGCCAGGCCUCCGUUCUUGAUACUAUCAUUCCUUACCACACUCAGUGACCUCAUUUGGUCUCUCUGCUCUCACACUAGCUGCUGUUAACCUUUGGGCCUUUGCACAUGCUGCCAAUGACACUUUCCUCCCUUAGCCUGGAAUCUACAUAGCUUCUUUUCUUCCCUACUUUAGGGUCUACUCAAAAUCAACCUUUCAAUUGAGAUAUUUUUGUGGCCAGAUACAGUAUGGAAAACUUCUGUUUAUUCCCAUCUGCCAAAUAUUCCUUGUUUUCCUAGUGUUUCUGACUACUUUAUCUACACUACUACAUGACUUAUGCAAUGUGUCCUGUCUCUCCCAAUAGGGAUGUCACCUGUAAGCAGCUGCUUCUCUACGGAUUAGUCACUGCUACCGUUUUAGCAUCUACCAACCGACACAUUGUAAAGGCAGGAAAUGAAGAAGAGAAACAGAAUUUGAAGGAACUGGAAGAAAAUACAAAUAAGUAGCUAUGGGUCCGUGGAUAGUGCUUGACACCUAUUCCAGGAUAAGCAGGCCUUACACAGUCCCGUGAGCACUGAGGUGAUAGGAGGCCUGGACUAGACCGGGAGCCCUACACGGGACCUCUUAUUCCAAAUCUAGAGACAAGACCCUGGGCUCUUAACCUCACUGGCCUCAGUUUCCCCAAAUACCAGGCAUAGAGAGGUGAAGAUGCAGAAAAGGACAUUCAUAUGGACAGUUCUGGGGCCAGGAGAGUCCACGUCCUAGCUGUAACUGCAAACGGAAAAGAAAAUGACUCUGCUAGAUGACCAGUCAUGUGUUCUCCCUCAGCUCUGCCUGCAGAUGACAGAGUAGAGGAAACAUC